rnacentral:rRNA from 1 species
AGUGAACGCUGGCGGUAGGCCUAACACAUGCAAGUCGAACGGCAGCACAGUAAGAGCUUGCUCUUACGGGUGGCGAGUGGCGGACGGGUGAGGAAUACAUCGGAAUCUACUUUUUUGUGGGGGAUAACGUAGGUAAACUUACGCUAAUACCGCAUACGACCUACGGGUGAAAGCAGGGGAUCUUCGGACCUUGCGCGAUUGAAUGAGCCGAUGUCGGAUUAGCUAGUUGGCGGGGUAAAGGCCCACCAAGGCGACGAUCCGUAGCUGGUCUGAGAGGAUGAUCAGCCACACUGGAACUGAGACACGGUCCAGACUCCUACGGGAGGCAGCAGUGGGGAAUAUUGGACAAUGGGCGCAAGCCUGAUCCAGCCAUACCGCGUGGGUGAAGAAGGCCUUCGGGUUGUAAAGCCCUUUUGUUGGGAAAGAAAAGCAGCAGGUUAAUACCCCGCUGUUCUGACGGUACCCAAAGAAUAAGCACCGGCUAACUUCGUG